AUUGAACGCUGGCGGCAUGCCUUACACAUGCAAGUCGAACGGUAACGGGCCUUCGGGUGCCGACGAGUGGCGGACGGGUGCGUAAUACAUCGGAACGUGCCCGACCGUGGGGGAUAACGAGGCGAAAGCUUUGCUAAUACCGCAUACGAUCUACGGAUGAAAGCAGGGGACCGCAAGGCCUUGCGCGGACGGAGCGGCCGAUGGCAGAUUAGGUAGUUGGUGGGAUAAAAGCUUACCAAGCCGACGAUCUGUAGCUGGUCUGAGAGGAUGAUCAGCCACACUGGGACUGAGACACGGCCCAGACUCCUACGGGAGGCAGCAGUGGGGAAUUUUGGACAAUGGGCGCAAGCCUGAUCCAGCCAUGCCGCGUGCAGGAUGAAGGCCUUCGGGUUGUAAACUGCUUUUGUACGGAACGAAAAGCCUUCUUUUAAUACAGGGGGGUCAUGACGGUACCGUAAGAAUAAGCACCGGCUAACUACGUG
rnacentral:rRNA from 1 species